CCGGGGGGGCCCGGACACCCGGGGGGCCGGCGGCGGCGGCGACUCUGGACGCGAGCCGGGCCCUUCCCGUGGAUCGCCCCAGCUGCGGCGGGCGGCGCGGCCCCCCCCCGGGGGGCCCGCCCCGGGGCCGCGGUCCCGCGCGGCGCCCCUCCUCGGCCGGCGCCUAGCAGCCGACUUAGAACUGGUGCGGACCAGGGGAAUCCGACUGUUUAAUUAAAACAAAGCAUCGCGAAGGCCCGCGGCG
rnacentral:lncRNA from 1 species